rnacentral:rRNA from 1 species
UCUGGUAAAAAUAGUGUAAUGGAACCACCUGAAUCCAUUCCGAACUCAGAAGUGAAACGUUAUAACGCCAAUGGUAGUGCAGGGUUUCCCUGUGUGAGAGUAGGACAUCUCCAGAC